AGAGUUUGAUCAUGGCUCAGAUUGAACGCUGGCGGCAUGCCUUACACAUGCAAGUCGAACGGCAGCAUAGGAGCUUGCUCCUGAUGGCGAGUGGCGAACGGGUGAGUAAUAUAUCGGAACGUGCCCUAGAGUGGGGGAUAACUAGUCGAAAGACUAGCUAACACCGCAUACGAUCUACGGAUGAAAGUGGGGGAUCGCAAGACCUCAUGCUCCUGGAGCGGCCGAUAUCUGAUUAGCUAGUUGGUGGGGUAAAAGCCUACCAAGGCAACGAUCAGUAGCCGGUCUGAGAGGACGACCAGCCACACUGGGACUGAGACACGGCCCAGACUCCUACGGGAGGCAGCAGUGGGGAAUUUUGGACAAUGGGGGCAACCCUGAUCCAGCAAUGCCGCGUGAGUGAAGAAGGCCUUCGGGUUGUAAAGCUCUUUUGUCAGGGAAGAAACGGUGGUAGCGAAUAACUACUACUAAUGACGGUACCUGAAGAAUAAGCACCGGCUAACUACGUGCCAGCAGCCGCGGUAAUA
rnacentral:rRNA from 1 species